UUCCGGUUGAUCCCGCCGGACCUGACUGCUAUCGGAAUGAUACUAAGCCAUGUGAGUCAUUGUAGCAAUACAAGGCAGACGGCUCAGUAACACGUAGCCAAUCUAACCUAUGGACGGGGAUAACCUCGGGAAACUGAGGAUAAACCCCGAUAGAUCAUUAUGCCUGGAACGGUUUAUGGUCCAAAUGGUUCGUCGCCGUAGGAUGAGACUGCGGCCUAUCAGCUUGUUGGUGAGGUAAUGGCCCACCAAGGCUAUUACAGGUACGGGCUCUGAGAGGAGAAGCCCGGAGAUGGGUACUGAGACACGGACCCAGGCCCUAUGGGGCGCAGCAGGCGAGGAACCUUUGCAAUGUGCGCAAGCACGACAAGGUUAAUCCGAGUGUUUCCUGCUAAAGGAAUCUUUUGUUAGUCCUAAAAACACUAGUGAAUAAGGGGUGGGCAAGUUCUGGUGUCAGCCGCCGCGGUAAAACCAGCACCUCAAGUGGUCAGGAGGAUUAUUGGGCCUAAAGCAUCCGUAGCUUGCUCUGUAAGUUUCCGGUUAAAUCCAUUAGCUCAACUAAUGGGCUGCCGGAAAAACUGCAAAGCUAGGAAGUGGGAGAGGUAGACGGUACUCGGUAGGAAGGGGUAAAAUCCUUUGAUCUAUUGAUGACCACCUGUGGCGAAGGCGGUCUACCAGAACACGUUCGACAGUGAGGGAUGAAAGCUGGGGGAGCAAACCGGAUUAGAUACCCGGGUAGUCCCAGCUGUAAACGAUGCAGACUCGGUGAUGCCCUGGCUUGUGGCCAGUGCAGUGCCGCAGGGAAGCCGUUAAGUUUGCCGCCUGGGAAGUACGUACGCAAGUAUGAAACUUAAAGGAAUUGGCGGGGGAGCACCACAAGGGGUGAAGCCUGCGGUUCAAUUGGAUUCAACGCCGGA
rnacentral:rRNA from 1 species